UCCGCCAACCAACCCCAAAAAAAGAAAAAAACCCUAAGACUUCUCCUGCAACUGCGAAUUAAACCUCUGUUUUGAACAUUUAUUUCAUAAACCUGCAACUGCCUGUGAAAUAAAAUUCAGGGAAACUGCUGGUGUUCAAACAUCAAUAUCAUCCUAUUAGAAAAACUGCUCGUCACCUUCAUUGACAACAACUACUCAUCUUCGAGUUUCUUCUCAUCAGGUUGACAUGAAUACAUCAAAUUCUCAGACGUUUAAAGUGGAAUCAACUUCAAAGUCUGCGAAGCCUGUGUACGUUCCACCUGGUAGCUUAGCAAGGGGACGAGGGCAAAGCUUUAGAACAAUGUUGAACAGAGAGGUUCGAUUGUCAAAAGUAAAACUUUUAGUGUAUUAGCUUCUGAUCAGAAUAAGAUAACUCAUAAUGAUAGUUUUGUGCCUCUUGGUUUUGAACCAAUAUUGGAAGGUGAUGCACCCCUUCCUCAUCAUGAAGAAGUGAUGCAAGGCAUUGAAAGAAGCGAAAUAAGUAUCUUACUGUUUUAAGCUAUAAUAUUUUUUUUUUUAUUGUACAAAAACUUUUUUUUAUUUGACUUAAAUUAAAAUUUGCAAGGCCAUGUAAAUCUGAAAAGGCAAAAAAAGUGAGACUAAUAGAUGUAAAAAUAUUGCAUCACUCAAAGUUGGAGAAACGUUGAGCAUUA